GACGAACGCUGGCGGCGUGCCUAAUACAUGCAAGUUGAGCGCUGAAGGUUGGUACUUGUACCAACUGGAUGAGCAGCGAACGGGUGAGUAACGCGUGGGGAAUCUGCCUUUGAGCGGGGGACAACAUUUGGAAACGAAUGCUAAUACCGCAUAAAAACUUUAAACACAAGUUUUAAGUUUGAAAGAUGCAAUUGCAUCACUCAAAGAUGAUCCCGCGUUGUAUUAGCUAGUUGGUGAGGUAAAGGCUCACCAAGGCGAUGAUACAUAGCCGACCUGAGAGGGUGAUCGGCCACAUUGGGACGGAGACACGGCCCAAACUCCUGCGGGAGGCAGCAGUAGGGAAUCUUCGGCAAUGGACGAAAGUCUGACCGAGCAACGCCGCGUGAGUGAAGAAGGUUUUCGGAUCGUAAAACUCUGUUGGUAGAGAAGAACGUUGGUGAGAGUGGAAAGCUCAUCAAGUGACGGUAACUACCCAGAAAGGGACGGCUAACUACGUG
rnacentral:rRNA from 1 species